rnacentral:rRNA from 1 species
AAUUCCAGCUCCAAUAGCGUAUAUUAAAGUUGUUGCAGUUAAAAAGCUCGUAGUUGAACCUUGGGCCUGGCUGGCCGGUCCGCCUCACCGCGUGCACUGGUCCGGCCGGGCCUUUCCUUCUGGGGAGCCCCAUGCCCUUCACUGGGUGUGUCGGGGAACCAGGACUUUUACUUUGAAAAAAUUAGAGUGUUCAAAGCAGGCCUAUGCUCGAAUACAUUAGCAUGGAAUAAUAGAAUAGGACGUGUGGUUCUAUUUUGUUGGUUUCUAGGACCGCCGUAAUGAUUAAUAGGGAUAGUCGGGGGCAUCAGUAUUCAAUUGUCAGAGGUGAAAUUCUUGGAUUUAUUGAAGACUAACUACUGCGAAAGCAUUUGCCAAGGAUGUUUUCAUUAAUCAGUGAACGAAAGUUAGGGGAUCGAAGACGAUCAGAUACCGUCGUAGUCUUAACCAUAAACUAUGCCGACUAGGGAUCGGGCGAUGUUAUUAUUUUGACUCGCUCGGCACCUUACGAGAAAUCAAAGUUUUUGGGUUCUGGGGGGAGUAUGGUCGCAAGGCUGAAACUUAAAGAAAUUGACGGAAGGGCACCACCAGGAG